CCUCGCCCUUUCCGUGCUUGCCGCUAACACUCUCUCUCCCGUCACCGUGCUCCCGCCGCCGUUUUCUCUCCUCCCUGCAAGCGACGAUCUGACGCCAGCCGAGCUCCGCCUCAUCCACCCCAUCACUCAUAGUCGCGCGCGGCCGAAUGAGGGCUAGCAGGCCGAGUCGUUCACGCCGCCGCCAUCGCCAUGCGGGCUGCAGCUCUCCGCCUCUUGGUGUCUUCGUCUGCGCAGGAAAGAGGCGUGACUGUGAGGGGCGAUCUGUUCACGCUACCGCCUUCAUCCUGGCGCCCCUCAGCGAGCACGAAGGGCGCAGCCAAACCCUACCAUGGGAUGACACCUAGGACCCGAGGAUAAUGGGUACAACUCAGUUGAAGCUGAAGACUGGGAGCUAGCAACUAACUGUGAUGAAAUGAGAUAGCUAGCUGGAAGCUUUGCUUCUUGACAAGACCUGCAAAAUGGAGCAUCACCUAACACAGCUGAAGGUUGAAGAGCUGCAAAAAUUGAUUCGAAACUUGAGGAUAUCAUACUAAAGCUUCUCCAUCUCCACCUGCGGCAUGGGGACCAUCAGGGGUACAUUAUCUGCGUGGUUGCAUCGACUUGAUGUAUUAAUUUUCAGUUUUUCAUGAAGAUGUUCACUAUAUGGUGGUUAGUGCUUGGUGGACUGGAAUGAUGUUAAUUCUUGUUGGGAUUGCAAUAUUCUUUGGACUUCAUGUAUUUUAGCAUUACAGUCUUGCAACAAUGAUUAUAAUAUUCUUGUUGGGAAGGACUACUUCAGUGGAGGUCCCCCAGUUAAUGUCAAAUAUUUGAAGUGACAAAUCUUUCAUAAUUGAUAGAUUUUAAUUUAGCUUCCGUAUGUUCGACAUAAGGUUGUGACACAGGCAAAGAGUCAAGAUUGUGGCAGUCUAGAGCAACCUUUUAUGUAAAAGGUUUGAGGCUUUCUUUUUUGAGAAAAUAUGUAUGAAGUGAUUGCUUCUGAAUAAGGUCCUCAAUAAUUGAUAGACAAAAUGCCUGUAUAUAGUUCUACUAUGAUUCGUUGUCUAUUUAUGUAAGUAUUUCUACA